rnacentral:lncRNA from 1 species
CCCACGAAAGACCUGCUCUGUUGAUGCUCCGCAGUUCACUCCUGCUACAUCUUUGAACCAUAUCUUAAGCAUCCAAUCCAAAACUCAAAUAAGCACGACAAAAUGCCAGCAGAAAGAUCCCAAGAUCUAUCAAACAUUGCAAACAUUACAAAUAUGUUAGGUGUUCAUCAUCACCUGUUAAAAAAAUCUAAAGUUCCGUAAGCUCCAAC